ensembl:lncRNA
ACAGUUAAUAAGAUUAUUAAUCAAAGUGAAGAUAAACAAUAUCUGUUACAAAAAGAUAUGCAAACGAUCUCUAAUAUCGACAGUAGUAAUAACCAAGAUGAAAGGAACGAUAACAAAAAAAAUGACACAAAAGAUGACAAGCAAGGUGACAAAGAAGUUGAAAGAGGCAGCGACUACCAUCAGGACCACAACCAAAACCACAAUUACCAUCACCACAAACACAAGCAUAAACAUAAACAUAAGCAUAAACAUAAGCACAACCACAAGCACAACCACAAGCACAACCACAAGCACAGCCACAUUCACAAGAAAAACCAAAACCAGGAAUAUAACUACAACUAUGAAUACGAAAACGAAAACCCAAAAAAAAGUGACCCGCUUUUGACGAAACUAACCAACCUAGUCCACAAAGAAAGCGAAUGUAAAGCAAACAUUAUUGACAUGAAAAAAAGAAAAAUAUGGAAUACAGUUUUAUUUCUUAACUCGAUUCCAAAUAUAAACAGCAUGUCUCAUAUAAAUAAAUAUAAUGGAACCUACAACAAUUUAAGAGAUUCUAGUUUUGAAAAAUAUUAUAUAAAUAGAAAACUAAACUCUUAUAUAAACAAUAUAUUAGAUAUUAAUGAUAAAACGUAUUUAAAAAAAAAUAGUAUUUUUUUAUUAAUAAACGGACAAGAUAUAGAAUAUAUUGAUAAUUUAAUAGUAUGCUAUAAAAAAAAUAUAAAAAAUAACUUAUUUCUUUUUAUUGAUGCUUUUGAUUUAAAUGUAAAAUUAGAAUAUAACAAAGUAAAAUAUAAAUAUAUAGAUAAAAAAGGUGAUAAUUAUGUAUUUUUAAUAAAAGUUCUUUAUCAUAAUAAAACUAUGCACCUGGUAUUGGUAGAUUAUAUAAGGGGUAUUCAUGACCCUAUGAAAUUAGCCAUUCCUUUUUUUUACUUAACUUCACAUUCUGCUUUUUCUUCUUUUACACAUUUUAUAAUCAAAGACAAUUUAUUUGGCUGGAUCCACAAUGCACACGCUUUACAUAUAAAAAACAUGGCACGAAUAGCUAAAUACUUCAGAGAGAGCGCAUUAUACAUAAAAAAAAAGUACGAAAUUAUAUCGAUAGAAAACAACGUGGUUUCUAACCUGUAUUUACUGGACUUGUUUUACACCGUAUUUGAGUAUGUGUUGUUCGGUAGAUUUAAUCCUAUGAAAAAAUUCAGCAUUUCAAGAGAUGAGAGUCUAGAAGAACUACUACUAAACAUAAUAAGUACUUUUAAAGAACCAGAUUUAGUUAAUUUUGAAACAUACUUUUCGAAAAUUAUACAAAAAAAAAUUGCAAAUAUAAAAAAUAUAACAAAAUCAGAAAAAAUAGAAAUGUAUGAAAUAUUUGUUAUACCAACAAUUAAAUAUGAUAAGUUUCAAAUGAUUUUAACAAAACUUUUUAAAUCUAUAUAUCAUUGUGGUGGUAAAUAUAUAUCGGAAUUAUUAAGAAUAGCUGUUAGAAACGCACAUUUUGACUUGUCAUAUAAUUUUAAUUGUUAUAAUUACCAGUUAUACAAGCUUCUUAUAAAUCUGUUGAACUUACCCAAACAUUUUUAUAGUUACAAGGAUUUAAACGAGUUAUAUAUAGAUAGUCAAAAUAUACUACAAAAAAUGGUAAGCUNNNNNNNNNNNNNNNNNNNNNNNNNNNNNNNNNNNNNNNNNNNNNNNNNNNNNNNNNNNNNNNNNNNNNNNNNNNNNNNNNNNNNNNNNNNNNNNNNNNNAAAAAAAAAAAAAAAAAAAAAAAAAAAAAAAAAAAAAACACACAGCACAGUUUUAUAUUUUAAUUUUAUACAACAACUGUAUCUUACAAUUUUAUAUCACAAUUUUUUAACAAACUCAUCCCCAUUUUUUUUAAUAAAAAAAAAAAAAAAAAAAAUUUAUAGGUCAUGUUAACACUGGACGAGAUGAAUAACCUUAUUCCUUUUAAUGAAGAUAAAUACAUUAUUAAAUAUUUUAUAAUCAUUUUAUAUUUUGAAAAUGAAGUAUAAUAAAAAAAAAACAUAUACACA